rnacentral:rRNA from 1 species
UACGAAGGGGGCUAGCGUUGUUCGGAAUCACUGGGCGUAAAGGGCGCGUAGGCGGCUUUAUAAGUCGGGGGUGAAAGCCUGUGGCUCAACCACAGAAUUGCCUUCGAUACUGUAGAGCUUGAGACCGGAAGAGGUAAGUGGAACUGCGAGUGUAGAGGUGAAAUUCGUAGAUAUUGGGAAGAACACCGGUGGCGAAGGCGGCCAUCUGGACCGCAACUGACGCUGAGGCGCGAAAGCGUGGGGAGCAAACAGGG